UACGUAGGUGGCAAGCGUUGUCCGGAUUUACUGGGCGUAAAGAGCGCGCAGGCGGUCGUUCAAGUCGCGUGUGAAAGCCCUCGGCUCAACUGGGGAGGGUCACGCGAUACUGAUCGACUCGAAGGCAGGAGAGGGUAGUGGAAUUCCCGGUGUAGUGGUGAAAUGCGUAGAUAUCGGGAGGAACACCAGUGGCGAAGGCGACUACCUGGCCUGUUCUUGACGCUGGGGCGCGAAAGCUAGGGGAGCAAACGGG
rnacentral:rRNA from 1 species